rnacentral:tRNA from 1 species
GCCUGGCUAGCUCAGUCAGUAGAGCAUGGGACUCUUAAUCUCAAGGUUAUGGGUUCCAAUCACACAUUGGGUG